GGUCGAUCUGUGACAUCUAAACGAUGGUUUUCUUCAUCAAGCACUGAUAAAAUUGUUGCUUCAGUGCUCUUCGAGAGAUUACCAGUUAUAGUUCCCAAAAUCGAUCCUACUGUAUAUGCUUUUCAAGAAUUUUCGUUUCGUUGGAGGCAGCAGUAUCGACGAGAGUAUCCAGAAAGUUUUCUGAAGAAGUCGGAUACUAGGGGAAAAGGUGAUUAUCAAAUUGAUUAUAAACCAGCUCCGCGAAUCUCAGAAGCAGAUAAGACUAAUGAUCAAAGGUCAUUACAGCGAGCACUAGACAGGAGACUCUAUCUUCUAGUCCAUGGUACCACACAUGGUAGUGGAAAGCCCGUCUGGCAUUUUCCUGAAAAAGUUUAUGAGUCUGAAGAGAACUUGCGCAAGUGUGCUGAGUCUGCCCUAGAAUCUUUCAUUGGAGAUCUUUCACAUACAUAUUUUGUUGGAAACGCCCCUAUGGGUCAUAUGGUCAUACAACCCACUGAAGACAAGAAAAUUCUGUCAAUCAAGCGCUUCUUCUUCAAAUCCCAAGUCAUUGCAGUCAACAAAUUUGAUAUUAGAAAGUGUGAUGAUUUUGUCUGGGUGACAAAAGAUGAAUUGUUGGAAUACUUUCCUGAGCAAGCUGAAUUCCUGAACAAGAUGAUCAUCAGCUGAUGUUUGUUUCUGCUCAAACUUCAGGCUUGGUAGGAUAGCUAGCGGUUUGAGUAUAUCCUGAUCUGAAAAAUCCACUUCUUUCCGCAAAUGUAAUGGCUUUGAUUACUGGAGACCAAUUUUAUGUACUGGCAGCAAGAAGACCUGACUGCAAUUCAUCAAGUUUUGUAGAAUUUUGAACAUAGGGAUACCUUAAGUUGUGAUGGCCUUCUAUCUCAGCUAUCACCAUUCCUAUUUGGGAGAAGCUAUGCUCAGAACUCUGAACUGGUCAUGCAAUUUAGUAUGAAUAUACUUGUAGAUGCAUGAUUUCAUCUCGUGUCAUGAAAUAAAUAAAAC
rnacentral:misc_RNA from 1 species